UCUUAGAAAAGAGGAGCUGAAUGUAGAGCCGCCCAGAGCCUGAGCAAAUGCAUUAAAAGGCUCUCAACCUUGCAGCAGAAGUUGCGAAUAGAACCCAGAUAACUGACCACCCCAGUGGAAUGGCAAUGGGCCUCUGCCACUUAGCAGGACUUGUUUUUCUCCUGUCUCAGGUCUGGUUCCCCAGGAAGAAACCAGAACUCACCAGAAUUAAGACCAGAAUUUACCUUCAAGAAGGAGAAACUGACAGGGAAGAGGAAGAAGAGGAAGGAGCCCACCCACAGCCUCAUCUCAGGGUACCAGCGCGAAGGGGUAAGACUCCAGGCACCCGGCUUGAAGACACAUUGGCUCAGAGUAAACGCCGUUCUGCCAACUCCUCUGGUGACCGCUGUUCUACUCUGUGCUCCAAUGAGAUCGACUUCUUCAGAUUCUACAUCUGAGUGAGAUCGUGCAGUGUUUGUUUUUCUAGGUUUGGGGUAUUUCACCUAAUGUAAUUUUCUGCAAGCUUAUCCACGUUGCUGAGAAUGACAGGGUCUUAUUCUCUUUUACGGUGGAAUGGUGUUCCAUUGUGUGUGCCUUAUUUUCUUCACCCAUUCAUUUACUGAUGAGCACUUAGUUUGAUUCCAUAUCUUGGCUAUUGUGAACAGUGCUACAUAAACAUGGAAGUGCAAAUGUCUCUCCCAUAGGCUGAUUUCAUCGUCUUUGGAUGCAUAUCCCAGCAGUGGGAUUGCUGGAUCAUCUUUGGUGUACAAGGCCGCUUCUAUAGUACUUUAUUCACAGAACACAGUCUAAAACUGUUUGCCAAGUGAAAUAAUUAUUACAGAAUAACAGUGAUGAUCUGGUUAAAAUACAUUCUAUAACAGGAAUUUUUAAGCUCCCAUUUAUACAACAUUCUCUAAAUUUAAAACAUGAUUCAUGCUAUUUAUAUUAAUUAGGUAGUAAAACAAGAAAAAAGGAGUAGAACUGAGCUGAAUUGUCAAAUUAUUCUUUUGGGUUUUUUAUUGGUUUGGUUUUAAUAAAAACACAUGAAAGACAAAAAUAGGUGGCACAUGCAGCUUUACUAUCACCAAGUCACUACUUGCUAAUAUUUGAGAAAUUCUUUAGUCUUUUUUGCAUAUCUUAUAAGGUAAUUAUACUACCAUGUUAUUUGUCAUCUAACAUAAGCACAUUUUACAUUAUUAGAAACUUUUACAAACAUUUUGAAGAGUACUUGAUAUUUUGUUGCCUAGUGGUAACAUGCUAUAACUAAUCAUUUCUAUAUUUUUUAAUUUAGGUCAUUUCUUAUAAUUUUAUUAUUAUUAUAAAUACAGCUUGAUGAAAGGUUUUGUAUGCAUCCAAUUUAUCCCAUAUUUGGGGAUUAUUAUCUUAGGAAGAUUUUCCAAAGUAAGGAAACUGAAUCAGCGGGUAUGAAUAUUUAAGAUUUUUGCCAAUUUGCUUUCUUAAAAGGCUUACACUUAUUUAUAUUCAUACCAGCAAUAGACCUGGGCACCCAUUUUUUUAACCAAAAAAAUUACACAUUAAAAAAGAUAUCAUUACUUUUUCAUGUGAAUGUUUUGAGCAACAAGAAUGGCUAAAUGCCAGAACUGGGAUAGGUAGUUAGUGCUACAUGAAUGUAAGCAUGAAGUGUUAUGCUAGUAAAGAAAGUUAAAAGGCAAUUUAAAGAGUUAGCUUUGAAAGAUAAGUAAGACUUAGAAGGGCAGAAGAAAACGUAUGUAAAAAAGGACAGAGAAACAAGGUCUUUGUGUGGCAGAGAAGGGUUUUGUUAGAACAAGAGGUUUAUUGAUGGGAAUGGUGUGCGUGAUAUAGAAUUUGAUGUCAACUUGACUGGGCCACAGGGUGCCCAGAUAUUUGGCCAAAUAUUCUGGGUGUUUUUAUGAAGAUGCUUGUAUGAGAUUAACAUUUAAGUUGAUAGACUGAAUAAAGCAAAUUGUGUUCCCUAAUGUGGGUGAGCCUCAUCCGAUCAGUUGAAAGUCUGAAUGGAACAAAAGACUGACCUCCUCUGAGCGAGUGGAAAUUUUUCCUGCCUGUCUGCUUGUGAAUUGGGACACUGUUUUUUUCUUGCCUUCAGGCUUGAACUAAAACAUCAGCUCUU